AGCUAGGUUGCGCCAGACGCCGGAUGUAGGUUUGUCUUAUCCCAGUUUCUGCUGCGCGUGCCGGGUGUUUGACUUCUUUAGGACUGUGUGGUGUUGGACCUGUCCUGAAGUUCCCCAGGGAGUAAUCGCGUGUGCCUUCUUAGACGAGCGGCGCUGGGAGGUGGGAGGAACGGAGUUUAAUGCGGCGUGCAUCAUAGUGGUUCGUUCGCAAAAUGUGGUCCACGCAACCCCUGCGUCACCAUCGCCUGGUGAUUUAUUACGAGUGCCAAAUUCUCAGCACCCACUCCAGACCUUCUGAAUCCGAAACUCGAGGUGGCUCAGCAACCUGUUUUAAAGCGCUCCAGGAAAUAGAGGUGGAGGAACAGAUAAAAUGACCCUGAGGGAAGAAUCUGAUCCGAAAUAUGAGACAUUCUAUAAGAAAAUGCCUAAAUUCUUCAAAAGAUCCACCAUGAUGGGAAAUGAUUCUCUCUGAACUUAGAGACCAGCUCCAACCAGGAAGAUGGAACCCACAGAAAGGUUUGACUCUCACAGCUGAACAGGUGUGAGUCAUCUUUAACUUUGUAGGGAGGCCUCUGGUACUGCAUCACUCUGAUAAUCAGCUGCUCUUGCUUCUGUUCCAUCUUCCUUCUGCCAAAGCUGGCUGGGUACAGGGCUAGAAACCAGGUGAGCCAGCACUUACCUCUGCUCUCACUGGUUUAUACCAGUCCUCUUCUCUGUGGCCUGGUGUUCUCCUUCUAGGAGCUUCCAGACAAAAUCAUUCUCUUAUAAAGUUUCUAAUAUGACCCCUCCUUGAAAAGUACGCACAUAUUUUGUUGUUCUUGUUUCUGAAACUAAUUACCACAUUAGUAUUUUCUGUAAAUACCUCUUGACUUACCCAGUAUUCUUGCCCUGAACCCACUUAAUAGAUAACAUAGGGAGGGCUCUUGAAACCCGAGAGAGGCAAUAUUCCUCCAGAAUGUCCAGCCCAAGCCAUAUAUAGCAAGUCUGUUGCCAACUCUCUACCUCUCAGAAACUCUGUUAGAAUGAGAGAGACCCCUUUAAAGUUCACUAAAAAGCAAUUUAGAUGCAGCAGAAGUAUCAACAACAAAGGUAUACCAAAGAAGGAAAAUAAGUUGUCAAGAACAGUGAGUAAUGGUAGAGUUUUAAAAAAAUCAAUAUCUGUUCACAUAUUUCUGUGCAUGGGGUGCAUCCAUCAAAGUGAGUGGGUGACAUUUGUCCCAGCCUGGCUGAGCCAGCCAGUGCCGCAUGACUCACCUUCUGUGCUAUCAGCAAACCACCAAGCCUCUUGCCUGGGAGUUAACAAACUCACUAAAGAAACUCUAUUCUCAAUCUGUCAUUAAUUGAAUCUUUAAAUGUAAUCCAGUUGCCAGCCAAUUUAUAAAUUUCCCCCAUAUUCUCUAGCUUACUUCUAAGUUUCCUUCCAAUCACUUUUGCAGCCUGGCUGGAUUUGUUUGGAUUUAUCUUAGUUUGCUUUGAGGAGGAAUUGAAAUACCUCUGUCUCUAAGAAGAUCACUGUGUCUCCACCACAGAGGUCAGGUAGAGCAGAGAGGUGAUCUCAUAGGGUUUUUCCACCUAGUGAUUUUGAUUUUUAAAACAGCUAUGUGAAAGCCCCAAUCAUUGCCUCUUAAAAUCCCCUUUGUGCUCAAAGAGGAAGCUUGGCAAAUAGUUCCAGCAAAGUAUCAGGAAUAUCAGAUAGCACUGAUUCACCAAGUUCUGGAAACAAACCUCAGUUUCUCCAAUUAUUGGUUCAAGAUGAGAAAACUGAAGAUGAGAAAACUUCCCUCUCUCAAGUACCAGUGAGGUAACAAAACAGAGAUCAGCCUGUCCUGUGACAAACAUGACACAUGAGUUGACAAGUGUUCCAUUUUUUUCCACCCCAGCUCAUGCUGUGCCCUUCUGGCUACAUUGCUUCCCUGGGUUCUCUAUUUAAGUCUUACUCAUCUUUGGAGGUCCCACUCUCUCUCAAGAACCUUUCCCAACUUAUUAGCUCAGAGGGAGCUUCUCUGGCACAUAUGCCAAAAUCUCUUAAAGGACACUUAGUGUAGGUUUUCCAGGGUAGGGACUGUGCUGAAUUCUUAUUUGUACACUGAUGGGAUGAUGGUGCUCAGCUUACAGCACUGGUAUGCAAUGCCAGCUGGGCAUCAGACUCACCCAUGCAGCUUUUAAGACAGUACAAAUGUCCAGGCCCCACAACAGACCUUCUGAAUCAGAAUCACUACUUAGGUGGUCUUACAGAUCUUCCUCAACUUACGGUGGUAUUACAUCUUAAUAAACCUGUCGUAAAUUGAAAAUACCACAAGUUGAAAAUGCGUGUAAUACACCUAAUCUACCUACCAAAUAUCACAGCUUCGUCUAGCCUAUCUUAAACAUGUUCAGAACACCUACAUUAGCAUAUAGUUGGGCAAAAUCAUCUAACACAAGUGCAUUUUAUAAUGAAGUGUUGAAUAUCGCAUGUCAUUUAUUGAAUACUGAAAGUGAAAAACAGAAUGGUUGUCUGGGUACAGAUUGGUUACAAGUGUAGCAAUUGGGCGCCUGGGUGGCUCAGUCAGUUAAGCGUCUGCCUUCUGCUCUGGUCAUGAUCCCAGGGUCCUGGGAUUGAGACCUACGUGGGGCUCUCUGCUCAGUGGGGAGCCUGCUUCUCCCUCUCCCUCUGUCUGCCGCUCCCCCUGCUUGUGCUCUCUCUCUCUGUGUCAAACGAAUAAAUAAAAUCUUUUUAAAAAAGUGUAGCAGUUGUUUACUCUCAUGAUCACGUAGCUGACUGGCAUCACAAGAGAGUAUCCUAUGGUAUAUUGCUAGUCCAGGAAAAGAUCGGUAUUCGAAAUAUGAAAUAUGGUUUCUACUGAAUACAUAUCAUUUUACACCAUUGUAAAGUUGAAAAAUCGUAAGUCAAACAAUCGUUAAGUUGGGGACUGUCUGUGUAUAGGCAGGCACUUUUUAAAACUUAGACUUUCAUCAUAAAUCUUGUGAUGGUGUGUGGUGAUUGCUCUCGCAACCCCCUUCCCCCCACCUCUAGGUCCCCAGUUCCUACUCCCUCCCUUUCUUACAGAACCUGCAUGUAUUCAGAGAGCCACCCCUCCUCAGCAUAGUCCCCUUGCUUCAGAGGAAGCAUCGCCUCACCUUCAACAUGAAGUGAGGACCAAAUGGUCUGAAGCUAAAUACCAUGGUUCAGUAAUAGGUGUGUGACCCAAUUCUGGCCUUUGAGAGAAGGAAGAGGAGUGGGGGAGACUUCUGGGAAGGGUCCUUCUCUUGUAGGAAGCUUUACUCUUUCCUGCUGUUAAACUAGUGGUCACUGGCAGCCACCCUAUGAUCUUUCUCUCUCCUCUCCCCUCUCCCCCAGAGGGAGUAAGUCUUAGGAUGAGAAACUGUGAAAAAACCUGGAUCCUUGAGGGUGGAUCAAACCAACCUGAGUUGAUCUAAAUUUAGACUGCUACUUAUGUCCAUUAAUAAAUGCCUAGUUGUUUAAGACAGUUCUCUUACUCAUGCCUGAAAUAACCUCCUAGGUACACUUGUUUUUAUUCCUUCAAUCCCAAGUAUCACCUGGCACAAUGCCCUCUUUAAUAAAUGCUUAAUAAGCAUUUGUUGAAUGAGUGAAUCCACAGUCAUUGAGCACUGAUAUAUGCCGAGAACUGGAGAUAAAGUAGUAAUUAAACAAAGUUCCUGUCAUCAUGGAUUUUACACUUUGGUGGGAGUAAAACUGCCUUUGUGGGUCAGGUUAGCAGCCUCUGUAGAGAAAUAAGCUUUUUGUUUCUAUUUGUGCAAGUAGAUGGGUUCAACCAACAUAAGUGGUUAGAAUGAGAACACUUGUGCCAAAGGAUCACUGCUAAGGAAUUCACCUGACCACCAGAGUGACUUUCUGCAGUUAAAGAAAAAGGAAAUAACAAGUGGGAUCAUGAAGAAUACUUGGUCCCCAAGUUCAUGACUCAGAGGAAAAACGACGGUGCUCUUAUUACUGUAUCUCAGCCACAGAGCAUACGACAUGUAAUUGCAGAGGACCAAAUGGGGAGUAACAAUUUGAAAGGGCUAAGAAAAUUUGAUUUUACUAAAUAAAUGGAAUUUGGAGAAGGGAAAACGGAUGACCUACUGAGUGUCAAUCUGUGAGUAUAUGAAAGGUAAUGACGAGGUAGGGAUCAACUCACCUCUAGCUCUUCCCUCUGUAUGAUGCCCAUCACUGAAGAUUAAGGAAGGAAUGACCUGGUAAGGGAAAUGCCUGAUGUGAAGGCAGAUGUUGGGUAGCAGCAGGCCUGGUCAGAAAGCAAAUUCAGAGGGGUAGGGUAGGAAGGAGCAGUCCAGCACAAUGAGUUGAGGGGCAAAAUCAAGAAGACUAACAAUGAUGCAAGGCAAAGGGAAACAUUCCAGACCUAGAGAGAUGAGGGCUUCAUGGACCAGGGCUCAGGAACUUGGAGGCCUGACACCAGAGAAAUGAGAGUCUAGGACAUUGACCCUCCUGUCCUGAGGUCAGGCCUUAAUCAUAAACUCAGUACCAGUGGACAGACAGGAGACUAACAAAGCAUGACCCCUUCCAGGGCAGGAGGUGUCACAAAGGCCUUAUGAGAUAAGGUACACGAGAUGGUCAGUGUUGUGUAAAUAUUCAGUGGAUAAUUGAGCUCAUCAGGCUGCCCUGUAAGAUGGCAGCAGCCAGGCCAUUCUUGAUCCUUAAACAUUAAAAUCAUAGGUUAUUCUGGAACUGGCACAAAUUUCAGCUCCCUGAAACAAAAAGACAAUUGUGAUGGACAUUUUUUUCUCUCCCACAACUUGCAUCUCUGCCCCUCGUGAUAGCAUUGAAGUUUUGGGGGAGAGGCCACUCUCCUCUGCCCACAAACCAUGUGGCCCAGGUGAAGCCAAUUCCCAAUCACAUGAUCCUAUCUAGGAGUGGGUGAGCAACUUGGCUUGACUAAUUAGCAUGUUCCUUCUCCCUAGACACAGUGAUUGGUUCAGGGAUGGGCAUGUGAUCCAAGUUGGUCCAGUGAAAGUCAAUUCUGAGAUUUUUGCUGGAAAGGCUGGGAAGAGGCAGCUCUCUUUCUACUGGGUGGCGGAGCUGUACAAUGUAGAACAUAAACACAGAGCUGGCAGGAGUCACUGCAUGGGGAGGGCUUGCCAGCAAAUGGAACCAAUCCAGAGGAGGGCAGGGCUAAGAGAGAGAGAAGGAGAGAUUGCAAGGCAAUAAUUCUGGCAAUUUUGAGUCUAUGGUACCAGCUGUGCCUAAAGACAGAUCUAUUCUUGAUCUUCUCUGUUACUAUUGCUUAGGGCAGUCUAAACUGGGUUUCUGUUACUUGCAACUUGGUGUCCUGAAAUGAUAAAUAAUGGGAGACCAUAUUACGAUAAUUUGCUUUUCCAUCUCAGGUGAGUUGAUGAGAUCCAGCCAAUCAACUUACAUAGUGCUUUCUAUUGCUAAAUACUGUUCUAAGCACAGAUAAAACCAUGAAUACAACGGAGUCCUUGCCCUCAGGGAACUUAACUCCUAGCAGGAGGAGAUAGCUAUUAAACAAGUCAAAAUAAAUAUACAUAAGAAAAGUUUAGGCAUAUAUAAAAAGAAUCAAGAGGAAUACAUUGAAUCUUGAGCAGGAGAGGCUGUUUUUAGUGGGUGUAGGUCUCUUGAAGGUCUCUUGAAGGAGGUAGUGACACUCGAGAUGAGGUCAUAAUAAUAAGAGGUGCCGCUCAAGACGAGAAGAAUGCCCCCACCAAAAGAAGAGCAGAUAUAAAGGCCCUCAGACUGGAACAAGACUGGCCUAUUCAGGAGACAGAAAGAAAGUGAGUGUGGCUGCAGUGUCCUGAGUGAGGGACAAGUGGAGAGAGAUGAGACUGGACAGGUAAGCUGGGGCAGCCGUUGAGCUUCUGAGAGUUUGGGUUUUAUUCUGAAUGCAGUGGGCACUCACUAAGAGGACCUGACUUACCUUUUAAAAACAUUAUUCCCAUUGUCGGGUAAAGGUUGGACUAAAGGAAGACAAGAGGGAAGUAAGAUCUAUUAGGAGAUAAUGCAGGAGUCCAGGUGAGAAAUGAUGGAGGGACCCUGGACCAGGGUUAGAGCAGCAGACAUGGAAAUGGACAGGUGGUGGAUUUGGGAUACAUUUGGGAGGUGGAGACAAUAGGAUACACUGAUGGGUUAGAAGUGAGGUGUGAGGAAAAGGGAUGAUUCAAACACAAUGAUCAAGUUUUAGUCCAAGUGGUUAGGUGGAUGAUGGUGUCACUUACAAAAGUGAGAAAUCCAAGUUGGGGAGCAGACUUGGGGUAGGAAAGAAUCCAUAUUUCUGUCUUAGCUGUGUGAGACGUUCCAAGUAGAGAUGUCAAGUGGGCAGUUGGUUAGUCACACCUGGAACUCAGCAGAGAUGUUUAGGCUGGAGAUAGUUACUUGCAAAUCAUAGACGUGGAUGGACUGGAUGAGGACACCCAGCUAAAGAAGAGAGGUGCUAAAACACAGAGCCCUGGGCCUGCACCAAGGGGAGAAGGAGCAAAGGGAAAUGAGGAAUGGCUGGUGAGGUAAGAAGAAAACCAGACAAACAUGAUGUCACAGAAGCCGAGACAAGUGUUUCAAGAACAAGCGAGUUGUCAUCUAGGUUGAAUGCUGCCCUGAGGUUGAGAAAGAUGAGGACAGAGAACGGGCCAGUGGCUUUGGCAAGAUGACCCUGAUAAGGGACUGUUUCGUGGAGAGAUAAGGACAAGAGGCACGUGGCGGUGCAAUGAAGAGAAGAAAGCCAAAGGAAAACACCCAGGUCAGCUGGUCAGUAAGGCUUGCUGGCCAGGUACUAUAGGGUUAGAUGUGUGGAAGGGAUUGACAAGACUUUGUUAGGGAUAUGCUGUCUUUAAGAGUUGAAUAUUUUUACAAUGUAUUUUUAGUUUAAAAUUACAUACAAUGAAAUGUACAUAUCUUAAGGGAUGAGGUUUUUUUUUUUUUAUUAUUGAGGUAGAAUUCACACAGCAAAAUUAACCGUUUAAAAGUGAACAGUUCAGCAGCAUUUAGAACAUCACGAUGUUGUGUAAUCCCCACCUUCACCUAGUCCCAAUUUUCAUCACUCCCAAGGGAGACCCCAUACUCCUUAAUGGUAUGGGGUUUCCUUUGGGGAUAUGCUGUCUUAAUUCACCAUUUAAUUCACUCCAAUUCACAUUUAUUUUUUAGGUCUGAGUAGCCAAACUCCAUGUAACACAGCUCUUUAUCGAAAGAACCUGGGCCAAGCCAAAGUAACCCGUGAUGUUAGAAGUCAGGAUCACGAUACUUUUGCAGAGAAGAGAGUUUGUAGUGAAGGGAAGCAGGACACCAGCGGGGCUUCUCAGGCGGUCUGUGUCUUGACCUGGGUGGUGGCUGCAUGGAUGUGUUCACGUAAAGAUAAUUACUCAAGUUGUACACUCAUGAUACAUAUGCUUCUCUGUGCGUAUGCUUCAAUUUAAAUUAAAAAAAAAAAAAUAGCUAAGGAAUCAGGAGGCCUGGGUGGCAGUUCCAGCGCAAGAGGUGAGGAGCUGUGUGACCCGAAGCAAGCCUCUUAACCUCUCUGGACCUCAGACUCCCUCAUCUGUAAGUGGAGAGGAUUAACCAGAUGCCCUUCAAGGUUCCUUCCACCCAACAUGGUUCCCACGAGCAGUUCCCUCCGAUUGAAGUGGGGCAUUUGUGCUGCUGAGAUCAGCCCGAAGCCCUCACUGACCCUGGCAGAGGGAGAGUCAGGCCUUACUCAUGCUCUUCCUUUCAGAAACUAGCAGUUGCAGCUGAUGUCUCUGUAGUGAAGGGAAGCGGCGGCAAGGCAGCUGUGAAGUUAAUGAUAGUGCAAAUAAAAAGCUGCUAGUAAUUAGGCGGCUGGAUGUUCAAGCAUUAUUGUUGUUUUAAAAAAUCAAUUAGCUGAAUAAGAAAAUGCCAUUGAGACAAACAUUUAUUUUUCUCCCUAGCACAGUUCCAGCUGGGUGGGAGGAUAAUGUGGUCAAUUCCAGAAGUGGGAAAUACGGUGCUGACAUAUUGGAAAUUAAUUUAUAUUUUUUAAAAUUGCAUAGGGGAAGAUAGAGGCUUUUCAAUUUUUGUAAGCUUUUGUAAGGGAGAAAGAAGUUUCACAUAAUCACCUGUGAUUUGUACCCGCUACUGCUUUAUUAGGGAAGCCUCCAGCUCUGGCAAUGACCACAUCCCCAUUUCCUCCUUUUAGAAGGAGUUUUGUAACAAAAAAUGCUUUUAGGACAUCUGGGGUUAUUGAUCGGUAUUCCAAUCUCUGGGAUAAGACCUGGGGAGUCUAUGAAGCAAAUAAAUGAAGAAACAGAAAUUUUUUCCUAUCUGUCUCUUGUUCAUUGUUCAAAUAACUGCAUUUAGCCAAGCAGAUCAUAUAAUACGGUUGUGUUUGUUUAGAGCACUCUUCUGAAGACUACUUGGGUCUGUGUCCUGCAUUAACCACGUAACUCUGGGGCCAGUUAUGAAAAUUUCCUGUGCUUUAGUUUCCUUAUCUGCAAAAGGAGAUUCUGUUAGUACCCACCUCAGGGUGUGUGUGUGUAUGUCUAUGGAUGCACACGUGUGUGCACACACAUGCACACAAAAAUGAGCGUGCAUAACCCAUGGAAAAUGCUUUGCCCAAUGCCUGCCAUGUAGCCGGCACUCAGUAAAUAUUAGCUAUUUUUACGCUGGGGGAAAAAGAGGGAGUUCUUAGGCCUGUGGGGAAGGGGCAGGCAGUGUCAGGCAGCAGAAAGUGGAUCCAACUGUUUACCUUUUGUGUGGCCUUGUGGACUCCUGCAUGCAAAGGCUCUUGACCACUGUGGCUCUCAUAAGACCCCCAGCAGGGCUUUUAGACUUCUCUGGGCUUAUCAGUUUUGAGUCCCUGCUUGUUGCACUUUGGGAACCACAAAUAGCCCUGGAGAGAGGGAGUCGGAAGAUCUGACUGUUCCCCUGUAAUGGAUGAUGACCUCCCCCACCGCCCCCCCCCCCCCGCCGACCCCCGCCACCUCAGCUGGUGACACAGGCCUUUCGCAUAAUGGAAGGCAUUUGGGGAUCUAUUUUUCUCUCACUGCGUAGAGGAUUACUCACCUCACUCCUCUGUGUCACAGGGAAGGAGGGGUGGGGGGAACACAAUCAACUGCCAAGGAUGAGUCAAGUUUCAAUAGAGCAUCUUUGCUCUGAAGGCAGGGACUGCUGCUUGUUACACAUUCCUGAGAUUCAAAUUGCAAAGCAAGUCUCAAACUCACGCUCUUUUUUUUUUUUUUAAAGAUUUUAUUUAUUUAUUUGACAGAGAGACAGCGAGAGCAGGAACACAAGCAGGGGGGAAUGGAAGAGGGAGAAGCAGGCUUCCCGCCGAGCAGGGAGCCCGAUGCGGGGCUCGAUCCCAGGACCCUGGGAUCAUGACCUGAGCCGAAGGCAGACGCUUAACGACUGAGCCACCCAGGCGCCCCUCGAACUCACGCUCUUUUACUUCUUUCUUUUCGGAGAAGGGUGGCAACUGGAACUGUAUUUUUUGGGAACUGUAUUUUGACUGUGUUCUUUCUAGGUUAGAGAAUGAGGGAAGGUGAUAAUCCCAGAGCUGGCUCUUCUAGGGCCUCUGUGAGUCUUGAUUACGAACCCAGGCUGGUUCAUGCUGCUUCAGCUCUUACCUUCUCCUAAAUCAUCCACCCCCAUCUGAGCAUUUCUGCCUUUCCCGUCCAGGAGUGGCCACGGUCAGCUGGCUCUGGAUUAGAAAUGAGUGUGGAGAACGUCUCCUUCCAUGACCAAGACCACUGCUGUGGUCUUCCUAGCAGGUGUGUCAUCUAUCCACUGCUGGGUCUAGUCCAGCCAAGAAGCCGGUCGAUUCCCACAUGGAUGUACACCCACCACCUGUGGCUCCAACCUCCCUAUGAAGCUCUUUCCUCAGGGUGGCAUGGAGUAUUUCCCCAGGAGGUGUCAAGGGAGAGGAAUGCUAAUGAGAGAGAAGCGAUGUGAUCAGUCCUGUGAUCACUUAGUGUUGAAGCUAAAGGAUAUUUCUUAUAACACAGUGCAUUGGCAUACACUUAUUUCCAUGGUAUGAAGCAGUGGAACAAUCAGAAAGAAAGUAAAAGGGUAGGGUCAAGUUCAGGGUACAGGGCAGGAGAGGAGAACAUAGGACAUUGUUGAGUUGACCAGCCAAUUGGCAGGAGGCAUGUUUUGAGCAUCUCCAAAGACCACAGGAAACAACAUUGCAGAAAACAUUGAUUUUAACUGAACUGGUGUGCUUGAGGCCAACAGUUCCCAAAGUUAGCUGAGCAUGGGAGUCAUGGGGAGCUUCCGGUGAUACAUGUUCUGGGCUGUGUGCCGGGGAAUUCUGAGUCCCCGGUCUUGGAUGGGAAUCUUCAUUUUAGAAGUUUUCCCAGGUGGUUCUGAUGACCAGUCAGGUUGUUUAAUUACUAAGUCGUGCCACAUUUCGAGCGGAGAUGGUCCAUAUUAUCUACCACCAACAAGGCAGCUCAGGCUUAUUUCUAAACCUUUUGUUAUGAAAUGUAACACAAAACAGAAAUGUGCCUGAAAGCAAACACCCAAGUGUCAAAUAGAAUAUUGCCAACAGAUACGUUUUUUGGCAACUAAAUACAAAUCUUCAAAAUUCCCAUAUUUAUAAACCACUGGAGCUAUGCCAUUUCUCCAGCGCCCGAAUUGCAAGCCUCGGGUUUUAGGUAUAUCUCUGAUAACUCUCGAGCUUUCCUCUGGCUCAGGAGCUGACUUUUCACCCUUCAUAAUCUUGCAUUUGGAUCCUGUGAUUAACCAGGAAUCAGAAACUCAUUUCAAACCCCAGCUAGUUCCUCUACUUGCCUGUGAUCUUGGACAGGUUCUUUUACAUCUCUGGCCCUUAGAUUUCUCAUCUAUGAAAUAAGAAAAAUAGCAGUAUCUACCCCAUAGGAUUUUGUGAGCAUUAAAUUUAUUGAGCAAACUCAAUAUUGCCUGGCGAUCUACAAUUUUCCUAUCAGACCCUGUUUUCACUUUGCUCCUCUCCAAAACGUCUCUUCCCAGAAAUUAUCCCCGUGCCAGAGGCGUGUGCAAUUUCCAUCUAUAUAGAGCCAUGCUCUCUUAUCUCUUGUCUUAAAAGGAAACAAGCAAAAAAACAAACAAACAAACAAAAAACCCUCCUUGACCCCACAUCUCUCUCCUACUAUUAUUUUUCUGCCUCCAUUCCUGGCAACAUUUUUGUAAUUACCGUCUCUGCUUAUUCACUCUAUGUGGUCUCCUCUGUGCUCUGCAGUUGGGCUUCUGUUGUCCCAAAGCCACAGAGACCACACCUGUCAAGAUGACCAAGAAUGUCUGCAUUGCCCCAGUCCAGCAAUUACUGUUCUAUUCUGAACUUAGUUGGUCUUUCAGCAGCAUUCGACAGAGUAGACCAUGCUGACAGCUGGAGAGAGAAGCUUCUGAGCAGAGGGAACUGAAAGCCCAAAGGCUCUAAGAUGGGGACAAGCUUAGUGGGUUCAAGAAGCAGAAAAAAAGGCUGAUGUGGCUGGAGCACAAAGAGGGAGGAGUAUGAGCUGGGAAGGUAAAGGUCUGCAGGGGCCAAAUCGUGUGGCACCUUGUCAACUGGAGUGAAGCUUCUGCGAGGCUCCUGGCAUAGAGCAGGUGCUCAGGGUUAGCUAUUAUCACUGUUAUUAUUAAGAUUUUUUUUUAAAGAUUUUAUUUAUUCAUUUGAGACACAGAGAUACAGAGACAGAGAGAGAGCAUGAGCAGGGAGAGAGGCAGAGGGAGAAGCAGGCUCCCCGCUGAGCCAGGAGCCCGAUGUGGGGCUCGAUCCCAGGACUCCGGGAUCAUGACCCGAGCCGAAGGCAGAUGCUAAUGACUGAGCCACCCGGGCGCCCCCGUUAUUAUUAAGAUCUUAAUAGUGCCGAGUGUGACAAAGAGGGGAAGGGAGCUGGGUAGGGAAACGAAUUAAAAUUCCCAAGUCUUGAAGAGCUUUCAGCCUAUUGAGGGUCUAGAUCAUACAUAGGUAACUGAAUGAGAGCUCACAGGCCGAUUUCUUAAUGGUCAAUUUGUCAUCGUCCCCCCUCCUCCUACCACCCACACUUUCUUGGUGAAUUGUGUCCCAUCCUGUGAUUCUUUCUGGAUAAUUAAGGUUUAGUUUUUCACUUGAAAAGGAGCAAAAGUGGGCUGUAAGUCCCUGUGAAGAAAGAGAUGACUAAGAACCUACCAGCCAUGAGAUUACCAUGUGGGCUGAGGACAGACCCUGGCCCCGUGUCCUCUCUCCUUUUCCAGACUGCUCAAAGCAAUCACCUCCAAAUAAAUAGUAGCUGGUCUGCUGUUUCAUUUGUGCCAAGCUGCAAACUGCACAAAGGAAAUCAGACUCUGGAGCAGCCCUUUGGUUUCCCGAUACAACAUGUGUGACCGAAAGCAGGUGUGUUUUUAUCCUCCUGGUGUCCUUGCCACACACAUUCCUACUGUGGGCACCUGCAGGCAAACACACACACACUCACCACACAUUCCACAUAUAAACACACGCACACACUCAGUGCACCCCCAGAUACUUGAUGCAAACACUCAACACACACACAUCUUUGUCAUAGCUAAAAUUAAUUUGCUUUCAUUUCCAAACUCUGACGCUCACAGAGUUCUUCCUCAAAAUGAUAAGCCCAUAGCGCAUUCUGGGUAAUGGCAUGUAAAUGAGUAAGAUCACUGUGUUCCCUGUUUUUUAUUCUGGUAGACCAUUCAUAUGGCAAGAAAUAUGCUAGGGUAGAAUGUAUUCCAUUCUUAAUCUGAUUGUUUUCAGACUUUUGUGCUUGAGGACAUUUUUGUCAUUAUACUGGUUUUUUGGUGUUCCUUUUUCGUGUCUGGAAGCUCAAUAUUCUUUUCUGUCAUGCACCAUUUCCAGCACUCCAGGCCAGUGAGAUGUCUCUAUCCUCUCCAUUUUAGAUUCGAAAGCAUCUGUCGAGUGCCUGAAUGUGUCUGGCUCAAUACAGGUGCUCCACUUGAAGAAAACCUAAUAAAGUAUGAAAAGUCAAAGCCACAGAAGGAUUCAGUAAGAUUUCCUUCCUGUCUUAGUAUUUUUCUUGUUUUUUAAAAAUUUUACUCUAUGUUAAUAAUCUUAUUUUAUUUUAGAACCUAUCAAUCACUCCCUGAUGGAAAUGGAAAAAAAAAAAAUGGUCCAUGACCCACAGAUCGUUUGAGAAACAAUGAAAUAAAUACACAACAUUUGAACCAAGAAAUUCUAUUCAUGAGAUGACACAAAGGAUGAAAAAACAAGCCACAUAAUGGGGGAAAUGUUCGCAGCACAUUAAUGGUUAAGGGAGCUUUAAGAAUCAAUUCAAGUAAAAAUGGGUGAAAAAUCACUUUACACGAGAAAUCCUAAUGCCUGGUGAACAUGUGAGGCGUGCCCAACCUCACUAUCACCUCACUGUCAACAAAAGCCAUGGAUUAUGAAUAGGGGGUAAAAUUUUAGAUCGACAAAGACUUAGAAGUCCAUGCUGAGGGCGCCUGGGUGGCUCAGUCGGUUAAGCGACUGCCUUCGGCUCAGGUCAUGAUCCGGGAGUCCCUGGAUCGAGUCCCGCAUCGGGCUCCCUGCUCGGCGGGGAGUCUGCUUCUCCCUCUGACCCUCCCCCCUCUCAUGUGCUCUCUCUCUCUCUCAAAUAAAUAAAUAAAAUCUUAAAAAAAAAAAAAAGUCCAUGCUGAACAGCAGGAGCUCUCUGUUGGGGGGGUAAACACUUCAAAGCCUUUGGAACACUCUGGCGGCAUCCACUGAAGCCGAACACAAAAAGCUGGACCUGUGAACAGCAAUUCAAGUCCUCAUCCUAGGAACUGACAGCAUGCGCACAAACCCAGCGAUGAAAGCAGCAUGAUUUGUGAUGGUUGCAAAGUGAAAACAAGACAAAUGGCCACCAGUAGCCGACUGGAUAAAUAGAUGAUGUGCCGUCCACGCUAUGGCAUCGUUAACAGCGGCAAAGCCCAUCAAGGCAUGGCCUCAAACAGUGACGUCAGGGCAGCUCACAGACUGUACCCUCCAUCCGUCCCAGGCUCCAGGCACUCCAGGGUCAGACGAUCCUAUACACUCAGUAACUUCCUAGUGCUGGACUUAGUCCUGUCUGCAGAGCUCGUGCCUGCUUGGUGCCCAGACGUCUUAGGGGUGAGAGCGGGUCCCUGAAAGGGUCUUGGGUAAGUCCUCCUGGGCUCCCCUGGGCACUGCUGUGGUUGGUCCUGUCCCUGCUGUUGAGAACAUUUGGCCUGCUGGUUCUUGAAUCCCAGGAGCUUCUUCAGUUGGGUCGUAUGUCCCUCCUGCUCCUCAGAGGCCAGAUACCUGUCCUUCUCAAAGUGUGUCCCCAGGUCCCACUGCUGUGCCCUGCGGUGGACCCCACGCUCCUGGUGACACCCCCUCGGGGCCCUGGGGAUGGACGGUGCAGGGCCCAUGAAGUUCUUAGGUUCUUACAUCCUUCAUUCCUCUGUUCCCACCCCUUGAGCUUAAUACAUUUGUAAAUGUUUUUUCUCAUAUAGGAUUUCAAGCCAUAUACCUGUUGUCCAAAAUAAGGUUAAUCCCAGAAGCAUGGGAGAAUGAGGCCAUCCUGGCCCUGGUGUCUGCAGACAGCCCAGAUCAAUGACUGGGAAGAAGACACACAGUAGAAAUAUUAAGACAUUGAAUGAAUGCUAAGUACCAGGAAUCUGCCUUUUCCUCCAGAAAAUCACCAGCCACCCCUUUUCCUUUCCAGCUUCAGGUUCCUAUAGCCCCACUCCUUAACUACGUCUUUCAGCACCCCCAAAAUUGACUCAAUCUACCUCAGCAUCAGCACUUCUUUAAAAAAACCUCAAACAUAGCGUAUUACACACACAGUUUGCCUUUUCACCUGUAUUGCUUGGCGGUUGGACAUUUAGGUCAGCCUCGUUAAAGGGUUCACACUACUCCACUCUAAAGAGGUGCUCAUGGCUGGACACUUGGGAUUUUUUCCUGGUUUUUGUCUAUUAAGAGGCUGCAGUGGAAAAGAACCUCCCUGUUUAAUCAUCCUUCCCAAGACUGAGUUUCCUGGGGUAGUUAUUAAAAUGUUUAACUUUUUCUUUCAAGAAAAGAGGAUGUGGGCAGAGAGGAGUUUUCUGCAGGCCUGCUGGGAAAUCGGGGCUCUUCUCUGUAGUAGCAGGGUCAUCCUGGGAGAGCUGCUUAUCACAGGGAAGUGACGUGGGAAAAUUCCCAUAAGAAUGGUCUGGAUGAAAUGCAAUAGCACAUUUGUCAAGAUGCUUUAAGAAGUUGAAAACAUUAUACAGCAACGAUAAGGUGUAACUAAAGUAAUGGGGCAGAUUUGACUGGAAUCCUAUACUGCAACCAGCCACAUAUCUUUAUGUUUGGCUAGAUUAUACCCAGAAGACUGAGAACACCUAAUCCAGACAGACUCAAGAAAAAACUAGAAAUGUAUUGUCUCGUGUAGAAGUCCACGGGGUAGGCUGGCUUCACACACUGUGAGAUUCAAAUGCUCAAGUGAUGUCACAAGGACUGGAUUUCUUUUCUUGGCUCUGUCUUCUGACGUGUUGGCUCUCAUAAGUCUUCUUGUUGUGGGGACAAGAUGGCCAAAGCAGAUGGGGCGCCUGGGUGGCUCAGUUGGUUAAGCGACUGCCUUCGGCUCAGGUCAUGAUCCCAGGGUCCUGGGAUCGAAUCCCACAUCGGGCUCCCGGCUCAGCGGGGAGCCUGCUUCUCCCUCUGACCCUCUCCUCUCUCAUGCUGUUUCUCUCUCGCUCGCUCUCUAAUAAAUAAAUAAAUAAAUAAAAUCUUAAAAAAAAAAAAAAAAAGAUGGCCAAAGCGGCUCAAGCCUCAUGUGCCCUCAGGCUUUGGUACAGCAGGAAAGGGAGAGAAUCUUCUCUAGUAGCUGACACCUGUCCCAAAUGGAGUCUUCUUGACCCUAAUUGGCCAGUCAUUGCUCAGGAGGCCAUCCCUGAACCAGCCAGAGAACAUCAUUCUCUGGCUCUCUCAGCCCCGAUGUAAUACCUUUUUUGGGACUCAAGGCAAAGUCAACUCCACUAGAAUCCUGUGGACUGAGAGGAAAAGAGUAGAUAUCUGAACACAAACCCCGUGCUCUUCUGGCAUUACGUGAAAUGGACAUCGGGCCAUCAAGAAGCCACAAAUUUUUACUGCCUUUAGAGACUUGCCAUUCAUGAGCCUGUCAUUUCAAAAUUCUGGCUCAGCUGAGUUUCCUUCAGGGAAUAUCUCCACAUUUUGUUUUAGGGGGUGGUAGAACCAACAAUUAGAGGCACGUGUGCGGCAAGAAAAAUGUUUGCAUAUUGAAAUGGCCUUUAAAAGUGUUUCUCUUUUGGUGAGAUAGCUUUUCCUCCUGUCAUGUAAAGAGGUUUCCGUCACAGAGGUCUAGCGAAAGGAAUGGAGUUCUUAAUCAGAGUUGCAGGGAAAGCAAACACACCAAGGCUGAGCAUCUUCCUCUGCACAACUGAGAAGCGAUUAAGUGCAGAAAACCCCCCCAUACAUGCAAGGUCGUUUAAAUCAGAACAAAGAGAGGGGGAAAAACCCAAUAAUUGUUUUUUGAUCAAACGUGAUUACAUUUAAGAUAAGCUCAGCCAUGCUUUUACCAUCACAAAGGGAAAGUGGAGGAGGUUGCCAAAUAAGCUCCCCUAUCUUCAAGUUUUGAAAGAGCCAAUUAUGAGAUGCAAAUGACCCAAAAUUGGGCUAGGAAAUUAACACUGAAAUAACCAAUAAGUGUGUCAGUUCUCUAAUCUUAUUUUCUCAGGUUAUGUAUCUGCUUCAGCUCCUUUCUGCAUCAUCUGUUUCUUUUCCCUACUCUCCCUCACCCUCAAAUCUUCAUGUCUUCUUAGCUUGCCAGUCUCACUGCCGUGCUUGCAAGCCCACGGGCAGGUGCUCCUGAGCUACGCAUAGCUGCUCAGGGCCCUUUGCCCAGCUCACCAUCCGUGUGAGUCAGCAGGUACUAUCCUGCCCUCGGCUCUGCUUUUGGAGAGAUUGGGGUGACCCUGGGAUAGGCGAGCCCCAGGAGGCAAGCUGGAGGAGGCCACCAGGAGCAUGAGUACAGAGCAGACCAUCUGACAGGCACAGGGGGGAAUCAGGACCAGAGGGGCUUUCUGGGCUCUUUAUCUGGCUCUUGGCCAAGCAGUUCCCCUCCCUCCACCACAUUCCUUAUUUCCAGGCACCAAGUUCCCCUGUAAUCAAGUACCCAAAAGUGUGGUAGCCUUCAGAUUUUGCUUUGUUUGGCCAGUAACAGGUUUUAAUGUAUUUUAAAUUUAAAUACCUUUGGGUACAGUAUAUGUGUAUAUAUGGAUAUAUAUAUAUAUAUAUAUAUAUAUAUAUAUAUAUAUAUAUAUAUAAAUCCUUUUGUUUUCCACAGUCCCUACUACUCCCUAUUGCCUUUCACAGGCCUGCUACAUUAUCCCUUGUCUGACUGACCUUCAGCUAGUGGGUAACGUAUUAACCCUUUCAUUUUUAUCACCUUAAUUCUCUCUCUCCUUUCUCUCUCUGAGGUAAACAGUCAUUGAGGAAUGACUGAGUCUUGAGUGUAUGCCCCCUCCCAUGCCUCCACGCUUCACUGAGCCACACUGGGUCUCACUUUCCAAGUCUGCCUUUCAUGUCCCCAAAGAAGCCACCCCUGCUCUGAGUCUGCACACAUUUUGACGCCUCUUCCUGCCAUGCCCUCCAGCCUCUUCCUAAUUAAUUCACACGUGGCCUCCAGAGCUCCACCCAAACGUCACUUCCUCAGGAAAGCCCUUCCUGACUGCCCCAGAUUAGGACGGAUCGCAUCGUGUGCUCAGAACACCCUGUACUUCUGCUUCACAGCAUUUACCUGGACGGUCUUGCAAUAAUUACCUGUCCACUUUUCUCCCUCCCCCAAACACCUCCAACCUCCAGCAUCUCCCAAACGCGAGCGCAGGGAGGGCGGUUACCCAGUUUGUCUUGCUCAUAGUUUAUCUCCAGCUCCAAAGGAGCACAAUCUGAGUGCUCCUUACAUGUUGAUCAGCGAGUGAGUGGAUUAAUGAAAAGAUGGUUAAGGCAUCAACAGACUGAGACAGCAGGGAGGAGAAUUUCAGGGGAAAGACUGCGUGAACACAGGGUCCAAGGGAACAUAGCACGGGGCAUAUGACGCUACCAUGCGGAGUCUAGUUCAUUCAUAAAUUCCAGCCUCCGUGAAUGAGCUGGGCUUCCCCAAGUUCCUUCAGAGCAGGUUCUUUCCCCACCACUGUGUUCCAACAGCCCACCAUGUGCAGGAGGGUUUCCCAGCUUUGGUGGGUCCUUUCACUUGAGCCCAGUAAGUCCCCUCUUGCACUCCCUCUGGUAAGCUGUCCUCACCUUCCCCACUCUGUUUAGAUUCCUCACUCCAUUCCCUCUUGAAAUAAAAACAAUUUAGUGACAUCUUCCUUGGUUUCUCUCUUUUUUUCUAUAUCAACUCUGGCCUUCAGCAGCACUUAUAUUUAGUGGUAUAGGGCGAGCAGUUUUCCCAGGAAAAGUUUUUCUUUUCUUUUUUUUUUUUUUUAAAGAUUUUAUUUAUUUAUUUGAGACAGAGAGAAUGAGAGAGACAGAGAGCACAUGAGAGGGGGGAGGGUCAGAGGGAGGAGCAGACUCCCUGCAGAGCAGGGAGCCCGAUGCGGGACUCGAUCCCGGGACUCCAGGAUCAUGACCUGAGCCGAAGGCAGUCGCUUAACCAACUGAGCCACCCAGGCGCCCCAGGAAAAGUUUUUCUACAUGUCUGUGGUUUUACCUGAAUAGUUUUUGUUUGAGGUUUAAAUGGAUCUAUUGAUUUUCUGACCCAUUCAGGAACUUUGCUAUUUUUAAAUUAAAGAGGGAUGUGCCAAGUAAUAGCAAAUCGAAACCAUCUCCAUUGGUGCAAAUCACCUUCAGGAUGGACAGGUCACCUUUUGGAGGCCUGACGUAGUAGGGGAGGAACUCCAUUCUGAGUGCAGAGAGCUAGGUGCUGAGCCUGCUCUGACCCCAGCCCCUCGUUGGUGGCCCUGCACCAGCCCUGUCUGCACUAUGAGGGGGUCUUUCCGGGGAUGGAUCUCAAGCCCCUCAAACUCUGAUGACUCACCUGGGUCCCUGAGUUCAGGGUCUCAGUGGAUGUCACUCUUUCCCCCUGCACUGAAGCCCAGGAAAGCCCCAGGGCAAAGAUCACCAGGUGGCAGCCCAGUGAGCUUGCCUGUGUCCUUGAAAAACCUAUGUGCCUGUCUGGGAAGGGGGUGCAUUGUGAGGUCCAAUUUACAGGAAUAGAAGGAGACUAGAGAAAUGGCUCUUUCUUUGUUCUGUGAAGACCCUAAAUGAGCCAACCUCUUACUUGCACCCACUGGGCCUGUGACACAGGAGUGGGCCUCAUGGUUGGUGUUAAAAGAUUACAUGUUUGUGUCCCCCCCCACCACCCAAAUUCAUACGUUGAAAUCCUAACCCCCAAUGUGGAUGGUUUUAGGAGGUGGGGCUUUUGUGAAGUAAUUAGGUCAUGAGAAUGGAGCCCUCAUGAAUAGGAUUAGUGACCUUAUAAAAGAGAUCCCAGAGAGCUAGCUCACUGUCUCCACCAUGUGAGGAUACAGUGAGAAUUUGGUUGUCUGCAGCCUGGAGGAGGGUUUUCACCAGAACCUGACCAUGCUGGCAUCUACGUCUGAGUUUUUAGCCUCAAGAACUGUGAGAAAUAAAUGUGUAUGGUUUAGGCCACCCAGUCUAUGGUAAUUUGUUAUAGCAGCCUAAACUAAGACAGUUGGGUUGGAAGAGGUAUUCUCUGCACACACAGGGGUCUCCCCAGAGUCCCUCAUGUUCUUUUCCCUUCCCCAGUCCUUGCCACCACUGACUAGAAUAUGCCAGUGUGGUCAGGCAGGAAAUGUGAGGAGGUCUCCUCCUCUGCACCCCAAACCUGACCAGGGAGGCAUAGUAAUCCCCAAAGGGGACAUAGAGCUAGUCAGUCAUCAGGUAUUUUCCCCUCCCCUGGGAACACAUCAGAGUGGAACAGAAGAAAUUCCUGGAAGGGUCACUGGCUCAAGGACACUUAUGGCCUAUGCAGUUAAAACACCAGGACCUCCCAGGACCAGAGAAACUAGGAUCCGUUCAUCCCAGAGCCCCAGGAAACAAUGGCAAUCACUCAAGGAAGCUUAGAGCUUGCUGAGGGUUUGGUGUUGGGCAUUUGGAGGAGAUGGUGGGUAAAGGCUCAGGAUUUCACGUGCCAAGUAGUGUGAGUGCUGCCACCAAGUUAUGCCACCAUAUCUUGCUUCUGGAACAGGACAAGAUUUAUAGAUCCAAGUAUGGCUGGCCUUCUGGCUGCAGGCUUGACUCAUCCAGACCCUUUCACUCUUCCUAGAUCUUUCACUAGCCUUUCCCUGCUCAGAAAAUUCUAUGAGUCUCUAGUUUUCUAAAGGAAAAAAAAAAAAAUUGACCUCCCUUGCCAGGCCAAUGCUCAAGGCUAUUACGGUCUUUCACAAUGGAGCCUCCUGAGCCCUUUGCCACUUCUGCCUCCGUAAAACAUCUGAGGGCAUGAGGCACAAGCCUCCAUGCCCACCCACUCCUCCUCCUCUAGUCCUUGCCCCUUUUCCAAGGUCCAUUCCUGGGUCAUCUUUCUUCUGGAAGCAUCCCCUAUCCACGUGGUCCCUGGGGGUCCCUUCUCUCUCUGAACUCCACUAUAGGAAUGAGGCGCCACAACCCAGUUCUGACUUUCUAGAUUAGAAGCUGUAUGAGGGCGAGGACUGGCCCUGUGUUGUUCACCACUGUAUAAUCUAGGGCAGUAGCUGGUACAUAACAGAUGCUCAAUAGAUACUUGCUGACUUAAUUAAUUCAAUUCCAUUUUUUAUUAUUUGUCUUGUUUCAUGUAUGCAAUUUGGUUGGUCCAAGUAGACUGCAAGCUCUUCAAAGCUUAAACCUGGUUCCAUACUUAUAAAAUUUUUGUCUCUUGAUUUAGCUGGCCAUCAGUGCCCAGAGAGAGUACUUACUACGUAGGAUUGGGCAAGGCUGAGUGUCUUUGCAAAUGCUUUUUCUGGAAUGUAAUUUGACAGUACAAACCAAGAGCCUUAAAACUGUCUACAUCCCUUGACUUGGGAAUAAUUCUUCUAUAAAUCCAUCCUAAGUAAAUUAACUGAUGUUAAUUUCAUCAAUUAAUGUCAUCAAUAUUAAUAAAACAAGAGUGGCUGCAAUUUACAAGACUGCUAAGCACUUAUAUGUGCCAGACCUUCAGCUACUGGCCACUUUACAUACAUUCUUUCCUAUGAUCCUCUGAAUCACCCCAUGAGAUAAGUAGUAUGAUCCUCAUUUCACAAAUGAGACACUGAGGCCAGAGAAGUUUAUGGAACUUGACUAUCAUCACAUCCUUGGUAAAUGAAAGAGUCAGAAUCUGACCUGGGAAUGUAUGACUCCCAAGCCCAUGCACUGUAUUCUUAUUAUACCAGUAGAAAAUCAUGAGCAAUAUAAAUGUCUAGCAAGAGGAAAUGAAUUAGUUAGGGUAUAUCCACAAUAUGGGAUAUUAUUAGCCAUCAAAAAUAAUGUUUUUGGAAGAUCGUUCAAUGAUGUGGGAAAUACUUUAGAUAAAAAGUUAAGUGAAUGGGGCACCUGGGUGGCUCAGUCGGUUAAGUAUCUGGCUUCAGCUCAGGUCAUGAUCCCAGGGUCCUGGGAUCGAGCCCCACAUCGGGCUCCUUGCUCUGCAGGGAGCCCACCUCUCCCUCUCCUCUCUGCUUGUACUCUCUCACUGUCUCUCCUUCUCUCUCUCUCAAAUAAAUAAAUAAAAUCUUAAAAAAUAAAGUUAAGUGAAAAUAAUAAGAUUCUGCAGUGGGUUGAAUGAUGACCCUAAAAGAUAUGUCAUAUCUAAAUCCUUGGAGCUUAUGAGUGUGAUCUUAUUUAGAAAAAAGAUCUUUGCGGAUGUAAUUAAGUUAUGGAUCUUGAGAUAAGAUCAUCCUGGAUUACCCAGGCAGGUUCUAAAUCAAAUAACAAGCAUCCUUAUAAGAGAUGGGAGAGAGAAAAGAUACAAAUGUAGAAGGCAAUGUAAAGAUGGAAGCAAAGAUUGGAGUGAUAUGUCUACAAGUCAAGGCAUGUUAGCAACAAUGAAAAAGAAGAAGAAACAAAUUCUUCCCUAUGACCUCUGUAGGGGGUACAACCCUGCUGACACCUUGAUUUCAGACUUCUGGCCUCCAGAACUAUGAGAAAAUAAAUUUCUGUUGCUCUAAGCCACCAAGCCUGUGGUAAUUUGUUGCAUCAGCCCUAAGAAACUAAUACAGAUUUCUAACCAUAUAUGCCUUUAGAAACCUUACUCUCUGUCAUGGCAAUCCAGACCUACUGCACUCUGACCCCAACCUACAUCUCAAGCUGACAAGCAUUCUAUAGAUUCUACCCCAGGAAAUGCUGUCCUUUUGCUCUCCUGGGCCUGUGUCCACUGAGAUCUCCAUCUGCCCAAGAAGAUCAAUACAGAUACAGACACGUACCAAUGUCUGUUAUAAAAAUCGAUACUUAACACCACUCCUGGGAUUCAGUGCAGCUAAUGCAGACCAAGUGCCAAGCACUAUCCUAAGCACAGGGACAGCAUGAAGACCAACUUUCAUUAUGUAGCACUUUAGAGUUUGCAAGUCACAACCACAUGCCUUGUCUAUUUGAUCUUCACACCACCCUGUAAAGUAAGUAAAGCAAAACAUUUUACACCUGUUUUGUAGGUGAAUAAGCUGAGGCUUCACAGAUAUUAAAUGCCUUGCUCAAAGUCAUGCAGUAGGGCAGAGCUUAAACCCAGUUUUCCUGCUUAUUGUUUCCAUGAUACUAAGUUCCCUCCAGACCCAAUGUUUUGGAAAUUCAGGUAGAGGAAAUUAAAUCUUAGAAGAGGUAGAAUUCAAGCAGAGUCUUGUAAAAUGAUAGAAUCCCAAUAGAUUGGUGGUUGGCAAAUUGUGGUCUGUGGGCUAAAUCUGGCCCGCCUCCGAUUUUUGUAAAUAAAGUUUUAUUAGAAUACAGCCUUGCUCAUUCAUUUACACAUUGUCUAUGGCUAUUUCCAUGCUACGACAGCAGAACUGAGUCGUUGUGACAUAAAUCGUAUGACCUGCAAAGUCUAAAAUACUAUUUGAGCCUUUACAGAAAAAGCUUGCGGACCCCUGCAAUAUAUGGUUCCAUGUGUAUGGGAAGCGCUUGUGGGAGUGGAGAUUGCCUACAAGGUAAGGAAAUCCAUAGCUUCUGGUUAAAAGUAAUAUUUGAUUCCUUCAAAUAACUGUCUUUCUGGUCUUAAUAAUAAUAGCAAACACUUAUGUGGUACCUAUUAUGUGCCAGGCAAUAUUUUAACUGCUUUAUACAUACCAAUUUAUUUUAUUAUGUUAUGUUAAUCACCAUACAUUACAUCAUUAGUUUUUGAUGUAGUGUUCCAUGAUUCAUUGUUUGUGCAUAACACCCAGUGCUCCAUGCAGAAGGUGCCCUCUUUAAUACCCAUCACCAGGCGAACCCAUCCCCCCACCCCCCUCCCCUCUAACACCCUCAGUUUGUUUCUCAGAGUCCAUAGUCUCUUAUGGUUCGUCUCCCCCUCCGACUUCCCCCCCCCUUCAUUUUUCCCUUCCUGCUAUCUUCUUUUUCUUUUUUUCUUUCUCUUUUUUUUUUUUAACAUAUAAUGUAUUAUUUGUUUCAGAGGUACAGAUCUGUGAUUCAACAGUCUUACACAAUUCACAGCACUCACCAUAGCACAUACCCUCCCCAAUGUCUAUCACCCAGCCACCGCAUCCCUAUUGUUGUCGUCAUCAUCAUCAUCCCCCUUUUACAGAUGAGGAAGUAGGGCCAGAGAGAUCAAGUAGCCUGCUCACGCAUGCACAGCUAGCAAGCAGCAGGUACUCUGUUCAGUGCCGGGUGGUACCUGCCAGAGGCUCUGUGUGGAACUGCCUCUAUAUUGUUUCUCACACCCUUAGGAAUCCUGGGAAUUCCGUCAUUCAUUUGACAAGAAUGUCCAGAGCCCUGCUGUGAUGUAGGCCCAGCACUAGAUGCUAUAAUAAGAGCCACUGUUUCUUUCUGCUCUGGCAUUUCCUACCAUCUUCCUGACAGCCCCCCACACCCUGCCACUCACCUGGGAGCAGAAGCACUGUUUGCAGCAUGGUGACUCUCUUUUGAUGCACUGGCCUUGGGAGGUCAAGGAAGCUAUGACAGAGCAAAUGUAAAGGCUUUUCCAGAACAGAGACAAAGUGCUAAAGCCAUGAUGCAGUGAUCAAAGACAAAGUCACCAGCUGAGUAAGGAAGGGAGGGAGGCUGCGGAGCCCUGUCGUGAUGCCCAGAGACUAGUCACCUUGGCCGUGAGGAUGUCUUCUAUCCACCAAGGCUGCAGGACUCUACUGUAAGCCGCAUCGUGAUGAACUGGAGAACAAAGGCAAGUCAGCUAGCUCCAGAAUUGUAACCUGGCCCAACCAGACCAAUCAGCUUCGCUCAGCGGCCUAAACAUCCUCUUGUGGCUUAUUUUUCAUCCCCCUUCAAAGGUGAUUGAUUGGUACAAAAAAAUGAGACACAAAAUUUUGUACUGACUAUAUCAUCCAAGAUUCGGGGAAGGGGAGGGCUGCUCUGUUGGGGUAUGUUUAAGAGCAAGCAAGGGGCACACUGGAGCAGGUACCCAUCUGCAGGGGUGAAUGUACCUGUCUCUGGCCUCCUGCCCUCCACCCCCAGUGGAUGGGAGAUGGGAGUGGGAAGAGAAACUGUCUAGAGUCAGUAUCAGCCCCCUCCACCCACAACCACUGCUCCCCAGGCAUCAAGCCUGGGAGGGGAUGGGAGGGGAGACCAGCUUGUACCUCACCCUGUGCCUCUCUGUCCCAUGGAUCCCUCCCCUCCUCACCCCACAGCCCAAUACUGAGAAGAAGAAGAAAGAAGAAUUGAUCCAGGCUCCCGGCCCUUGGGAGGUGUUGCCCACAGCAUCAGUCAUGAAGUCCUGGGUGUCAAGUUGAAAAGGAAAAAACAAAAGCAUACACUCCACCCCAAACAAAAUGGAAUGAGAGAGAACAGACUUGAGUAUGAGUAACAGGCUGCCCUCUCAAGAUAGCUCCAUCAUCUGGAGGUGAGCCCAGAAGGCAGGAGAGAAAACCGUUUCUGAGUUUCCUAAUCAUUCCUGGAGUGCUGCAGCCCUCAGGGGACGCGUCCACCUCGGCCAUCUGCCCAUGACCUCAGCUGACACUCCCUGGCACAACGGCUGGUGAGCUGGCUGGCAGGGGGCUGGGGGACCCUCGGAGUUCAAAGAGGGGGGCUCUUGAGAAAAAAGCAGAGCACCAGGCUCCACUUCAAAGGCACACAGAGGCCGGCUUGUAUCUCAGCCCCCCUGAGCCUCCACUUGGCUGGUACCUCUGCUCUGAGGGGCUGGGCACCAUUCAUGGUACUGGCCGCCCACUCCUGUUCCCUUUGUAUCUGGUGCUGAAGCUCCCAGCUGCAUGCAGUCCUGGCCAGGAUCUCAGAAAUGAGCUGGCCCACAGGCAUUUGUCCCAGGUGCCCAGGGCCAAACCAGCAGAUGCCACCAUUCACUGAAAUUAGCACGGGAUUCGCGAGAGCCUCCAUAUGUCAUGCCCAGGGCCCAGAAGCACCAAGGGCUCAGCCCCUGUGCACUCUGAGCUUAAUGGCUAGUUGGGGGACACAGCCCCGAAACAGAUAAAUAGAGAACCGUGAAUGACGUUAUGGGCUCUGAAAGAGCCGAACCAGGUGCUGAGAGGGGAGGUGCCAGGAGACCCAAGUCAGCUGGGGGCUCAGGGGAAGUGUCAGGCCACGGAGCGGCGUGGUGGUGAGUGGGCAGCCGUGGCUGCAGGAGGGGGGAGCUGCACAGGCAGAAGGCACCACGCCUGCGAAGCACGGGGCUCAGGCCACCAAGGGGCCACCAAUGACCUGAGUUGGGUACAAGGGGAGAGAGUAGCUUGGGAAGAGGACGGGGCUCAGGCGGGGCCCAGUCCGAUGUGCUUUUGCUGGGAUUUCCCCAGGCUCAGCUCUCUGGGCACCGAACAGAACAGCACCAGCUCUCUCGCAGGAGAUGCAAAUGUUGUUUACUUACUGUUUUUCUCCCUCUCUCAACUUUAAAUUUCUUGUUGCAUUUACACCAGAGCCUGCAACUUCCCCCCACCCGUCCAUGUUUAUUCAAUGCCAUCAUUUCUGCCCUCUCUGAGCUACGCUGAGCAAAAAUACAUGUCUAGGACAGAAACCAGAAGACAAGAGAAGGACACUCCGAAGGGCCCUGAAUUGGGGUUUCCGUCCCCGGGGACCCCAUUCUGUCCAGUGCUGGAGGCAAAGCUGUCACAGUGCAGGAGGUCGGGGGGAGCCGGGGGCUGGAUUCGAGUCCUGGCUCUGCUUCCCGCUGACCAUGUGUGACCUUGAACAAGUCACCCCCCACUCUGGGUAUUUGUUGCCUCAUCUGUGAAAUGAAUGGAUCGCACUAGGUCAAGGGAGCCCUACCUGGGAUCCAUAGAAUUUUGUGUUCCUUUUAUUGAGGCAUGCCCCCCAAUUCUAACUCUGGAUGCCGCACAACCGAGCUUGGCUCCUGGGUCCCGAUGUGCACCAAGGCUGUGGGACGGCCCGGCGGGCGCGGGGUCCCGCAGCAGGCGCCGCUCUGGCGGGCCGACUCCCCCCGCUCUUGGCCUGCUGAGCCAUCCUGGUUUCUGGGCUUUUCCUCGGCUUGCCUUUCCCUUAAUGGGAUUCCGGGGAGUGGGUCGGAAAUGACCUGAGUGAGGGGCCCACCUCCCUGGGACAAUGGCCCGGUAUUUCGGGCGUGGGAGUGGCGUCUGCUGUGACUCAACCCUGUAGCAGCCCAGGGACAACACCUCCUUCAGAGCAGCCACCGUGUUUCGUUUCCAGCAGCCCAGCUGUGUUCUGCAUGACCGAAUCGGACACCUCUCACUUCCUCUGUGAACGGAACCCGGUGCUGGGAUGACGUGCAGGCAAGUCUCUCGUGCAAAACAGCGCAUCUCCACCUUUGCUCUCCCACCCCAACCCCCCGAGCUCUAAAGGAAAGGGGGACAAGAAGGAGGGAAAAAGCCACCCCGGAACGGAACUGGGCUUCAAACCAGUGGAGACCUGGAGGAGAGGCACAAGCGCUGCUCUGGGGACUGGAGCGUGAGCGCAUGCGCCCCUGAGACCUGUGCAAACCUCAGAUCAGCACCCCCCCCCCCGGGCAGGCUGCGUGAGCCAGGCCAGUAGGUCACCGGGCUAACUCCACCCUCAGCUUGCCCAGCAAUAGCCCUCGCUCUGCACCCCUGGAUCUUCAUCCUCACAGGGACAGCGACUUCCAUGUUUUGGGGGGUGCACCCGGGCAGGCACAGGUGGAGGGCCAGCACCCAGCAGCAACCUCCUCCUGCAGAAGUCUCCGCUGCAGGAGUCUUGGCUCCCCAACGUUACAAGACACAUAGGGGAUAGAUGUUUGGGUCUCUGAACCCGCCUAUUUCCUUCCUGCCCAUGGGCUCAGUAGCUAGACUGUGACACAUCGAUGAACAAAUCCUCCAGGAAUGAUGCUCCUUUGAAGUUCUUGGCUGAGUUAGAAUAAGCAAAUAAAUGAAAAUAUCGACAAGUCAUGUGAGGCAGCAUUGGCCUGCAUCAUCUCACCCGGCAGGGGAGGUUCUGCAAGGCUGCCCUACUCUGCAAAGCACGCGGCUCUCCUCCACAAGUCUGGUGGCCUGAAGAUAGGCAGACAGCAGGGCCCGGGGUGACAGUUGGAGACCUGCAGCCUAAGAACCGGGGCGAGUCACAGAUGCUCUCUGGGCCUCACCUUCCUGUUUGGGGGGGACUCUAACACCCACGCCGGAGAGAUGUUUGCAGGAUUAAAGGAACACUCCUUAGCCCAGGGCCUGGCUAAAGCGCUCAGGGCGUAUUCAUCCCCCUUCCUCUUUCCUUUGUCUCUGAGCCCCUUCCUCUUCCUCUUCCUCUUCCUCUGGCUGUGCUGGCUUCCCCUCCGGGCCUGGCCAGCUACCCUUCACCACCGCCUGCAGCAGCUACAGGGGCAUGUGGCUCCCCUCUUUCGUGCCCAGACCUACCGCUGAGCUGGGUCUCUGGCCUGCACCCCGGCCACCACUUCCCACCUGCUCUGGGGGGCUCUGUUCUCAGCAGCAUGAUGCUGUUCUGCCAACUCAUGGCCUUUGUGUGCUGUGUUUACAGGCUGUCCCCCUCCCCUUGCACUGUGAGCUCCCUAGGGUCUUUUCCAGCCAGGGACAGUAAACCUAGCCAGGGGUCAGGUCCACAACAGGGGCCACUGAAAGCCCCCAACUGAAGGACCCAGCCUCUGGCCACGUGCCCAUCACAACAUGGAGGCUCCAGGAGAGAACACUAGUCAGUCAGCUGAGCCCCCACCCCCACCCCAGGGGACUUCCUCAUAAGAGGGAGGGGGAGGAGGAAGAAGCCACAGCUUUAGGAGGCCUAUUCUUGCUGGCAGGAAUCCGAAUUCUGUCUUUAGGGGCUUUGUGCAAGAAGGCCUGGGAUGGAGUGGGGUCACUCACGGUCAGCCUCCAUCCUGGACCCAAGCCCCCCACCCCACGCCCUCUGCCUCUGGCAGCCAGGCGACAGUCCAGCCCUCUCGUGCAGAGCACUCCAUAUUAUCAUCAGCUUGUCUGCAUCAUAAGCCUUGCGUUUGACAUCCUGGAAUGACUUCCGAAUCUGUCUGAGUAAUAUCUUCCUCUGGUUUUGAAGUUUCUGCCAAGGAGGAAUGUCGCUGGAAUGCGGCCUCUGCUGACACCUGGGCUGCCAGUCCUCAGCCGUGAGGCUGACCCAGUGGCUCACCCAUCGUCAACCAGCGGAUGAGGCGGCUUGCCGGGUGUGUGAACCAGCCACACUCUCCCAGUGAGCAUGUCUCCAACUCAGGCUGCCCAGGAUAUGGGCACAGUGUGUGGCUGGGAGUGAUCACAACACCCAAAACGAACACUAGUAGCUAGCCGAUUAAAGCACAUACAAGGCUCAGCCCGGCACAGCCCACGCAGGAUCUAAUUUAAUCAUCCCAGGCAACCCAAUCAGGUAUUAACGUCCCAUUUUACAGAUACGAAAACUGAAGCUCUAAAAUUUAGCAACUUGCCUGAGGUCACAGAGUGGCAGAGCCCGUGGGCCAGGCAGCCUGGAGAUUGUUCUUCUAACCACUGUGCUCAACGGCCUCGUGGAAAUGGAGUGAGGCUGAUUCUGAGCCCACGUAGAGGUUCCGAACGGCCGGUUUCGUCCGCGCCAAUGAUGAUUUGAGUAAGGCCACCGGCAACCAGCAGAGGGAUUCCCUUCCACCAGGGCUCCAGGUGGAAAAACAAAUAGCAGGCCCUGGGCCACUCCUUGCCUGCCCCUGCCGCCUCCCCGUCCCAGCCCGCUUUCCUUCCCCACGGGUUUUCCAACCGCCCUCCCACCGUCCUCCGCUGUCUAGCAGCAAGGAAGAGAGAGAUUUUUGAGCACCUACAACACAUCAGUGUCUCUUCGUCACCCACUGAAUCCUCAUCCCAGCCCUCUGAGGUUCGGCGUCAUUCUUUCCAUUUUAUAGAUGGAGGGACUGAGGCUCCAAGAAAGCCAGUGACUUGCCCAAGAUCACUUUGUUGGCACAACUGGGCUUGAGACAAAGCUAAUCCUGUACUUGGUCUGCCAGACCACGAAAGGGAAGAACUCCUCAGAAGUAGCAGCAACAACUCUCGAACCUGGAGAGGGGGGCUGCACCUGUCCGGGAAGGAGGGCAUGGCGAGGGAAGGAGAGUGUGCCCUCCUCUGGUAGGGCCCAGCCCCAGACCUCCCCUGCUCAGACCAGCGGAUCAGCCCCCUGACAAAAAGAAGGGGGACACCAGCCCUCCCAGCAGACAGGUGUCGGCAGGGGAAGCCCUGCUAGCCUCCUGUGUAAGACACUUCGCACGAGGCAUCAGGAAAUACCAGAGCAAGAGGCUAGCCUUCCGGAUGCCGCCAGCCCAGGAAGGCUCAGCCUCCCGGGACCUUGGAUUGCACUCGAGCCGUCCACCAGGCUCCCCCAGCAGGUCACCCUGCCACCAGCCAGAGGUUCCCACGGCCAAGGAGCUGGGUUGGGCUCUGUGACUUCCCUUUAGGGAGAUGCCUUGCGUGGAGCCACCCAGACCAGAGGCACUGAUGCCCCCGCUUGCUGCCUCUUCCUGUGAAAACAGGUGGGCAGGAGCAGGCCUAUUGCACAGCACUUGAGAAACUUCAAGGAGGGGCCCCUAGCUGUGGAGCCAGGUGGCUCUGGGUUAAAUCCCAGUGCCUCCUCUGGUCUGCCAGGUGACCUGGGGCAGAACUGUAAUGCCCUGCUGCCUUCGGCUUUCACAUUUGUAGGUAGUUUAGGUUGAAUCAGAAUGUUAACACAAGCAUCUAUCCCAAUGCCUGAACACAGUAGCGAGUCUUUCAGUUAAAGCUUUUGAUUUGGGGCGCCUGGGUGGCUCAGUUGGUUAAGCGACUGCCUUCGGCUCAGGUCAUGAUCCCGGAGUCCCGGGAUCAAGUCCCACAUCGGGCUUCCUGCUCAGCGGGGAGCCUGCUUCUCCCUCUGACCCUCUCCCCUCUCAUGCUGUUUCUCUCUCUCUCUC